rnacentral:rRNA from 1 species
CUGUAAGCCUGUGAAGGUGUACUGUGAGGUAUGCUGGAGGUAUCAGAAGUGCGAAUGCUGACAUAAGUAACGAUAAAGCGGGUGAAAAGCCCGCUCGCCGGAAGACCAAGGGUUCCUGUCCAACGUUAAUCGGGGCAGGGUGAGUCGACCCCUAAGGCGAGGCCGAAAGGCGUAGUCGAUGGGAAACAGGUUAAUAUUCCUGUACUUGGUGUUACUGCGAAGGGGGGACGGAGAAGGCUAUGUUGGCCGGGCGACGGUUGUCCCGGUUUAAGCGUGUAGGCUGGUUUUCCAGGCAAAUCCGGAAAAUCAAGGCUGAGGCGUGAUGACGAGGCACUACGGUGCUGAAGCAACAAAUGCCCUGCUUCCAGGAAAAGCCUCUAAGCAUCAGGUAACAUCAAAUCGUACCCCAAACCGACACAGGUGGUCAGGUAGAGAAUACCAAGGCGCUUGAGAGAACUCGGGUGAAGGAACUAGGCAAAAUGGUGCCGUAACUUCGGGAGAAGGCACGCUGAUAUGUAGGUGAAGCGACUUGCUCGUGGAGCUGAAAUCAGUCGAAGAUACCAGCUGGCUGCAACUGUUUAUUAAAAACACAGCACUGUGCAAACACGAAAGUGGACGUAUACGGUGUGACGCCUGCCCGGUGCCGGAAGGUUAAUUGAUGGGGUUAGCGGUAACGCGAAGCUCUUGAUCGAAGCCCCGGUAAACGGCGGCCGUAACUAUAACGGUCCUAAGGUAGCGAAAUUCCUUGUCGGGUAAGUUCCGACCUGCACGAAUGGCGUAAUGAUGGCCAGGCUGUCUCCACCCGAGACUCAGUGAAAUUGAACUCGCUGUGAAGAUGCAGUGUACCCGCGGCAAGACGGAAAGACCCCGUGAACCUUUACUAUAGCUUGACACUGAACAUUGAGCCUUGAUGUGUAGGAUAGGUGGGAGGCUUUGAAGUGUGGACGCCAGUCUGCAUGGAGCCGGCCUUGAAAUACCACCCUUUAAUGUUUGAUGUUCUAACGUUGGCCCCUGAUCGGGGUUGCGGACAGUGUCUGGUGGGUAGUUUGACUGGGGCGGUCUCCUCCUAAAGAGUAACGGAGGAGCACGAAGGUUGGCUAAUCCUGGUCGGACAUCAGGAGGUUAGUGCAAUGGCAUAAGCCAGCUUGACUGCGAGCGUGACGGCGCGAGCAGGUGCGAAAGCAGGUCAUAGUGAUCCGGUGGUUCUGAAUGGAAGGGCCAUCGCUCAACGGAUAAAAGGUACUCCGGGGAUAACAGGCUGAUACCGCCCAAGAGUUCAUAUCGACGGCGGUGUUUGGCACCUCGAUGUCGGCUCAUCACAUCCUGGGGCUGAAGUAGGUCCCAAGGGUAUGGCUGUUCGCCAUUUAAAGUGGUACGCGAGCUGGGUUUAGAACGUCGUGAGACAGUUCGGUCCCUAUCUGCCGUGGGCGCUGGAGAACUGAGGGGGGCUGCUCCUAGUACGAGAGGACCGGAGUGGACGCAUCACUGGUGUUCGGGUUGUCAUGCCAAUGGCACUGCCCGGUAGCUAAAUGCGGAAGAGAUAAGUGCUGAAAGCAUCUAAGCACGAAACUUGCCCCGAGAUGAGUUCUCCCUGAGACUUAGAGUCUCCUGAAGGAACGUUGAAGAC